GUUGCUAUGGAAGUGAUAUUAGCAAUAUUAGAAAUCCAGCACUGUGGGCUGUGUAGCAGUAGAAUGUGAUAGAAGCUGAAAGCAUGGAUGCUGUAGAAGAAGCUUUCAUUUCAACAUAAAUAUCUUUAAUUCUUUGGAAAACCUUCAGAGAAAAAGAGGACAGUAUCAGAGAAAAGUAUAAACUACCUCCUUCAUUCAACACUCGCUCUUUUUUGGAUAUGCUGCUGUAUGUCAGCCUUGGCUGAUGUUGCAUCCUUCAGACAAUGAUUGCUUGCCAUCAUCCUACUGGGAAAGAUGCUUCCUGGGCUGAAACACUGUGUGCAGCUCCAUGAAGAAAAGGAUCUUGGGUAUCAUGGUGGCAAUUAUGAACAAGAGAAGAUAAAAGCAACAGGAUAAAGGAAAUUAAGAGAACCUGUAUUUAUUUUGAAGAAAAGGAAAGCUGUUUAUAGCGACAGAUAUCAACCUAUUCUUACGAGAGAAACCAAACAAGUACGGCUAACCUACUCCAUUAGGAAUACUUCUGGAACACUGGUAGGAAGAGAUAUCUGCGCUGUUAGUGCUGCACCAUUGGAGUUAUCAGCUGGGGAAACCCUGGGCAAGGAAAAGGAAGACCAGGAAUUUUGAACGGUUAUGUACCAAGUAUGAAAGUGAGUGUGAGAUCUGGAAUAAUAAUGUGAUGAAUAAGGAUUCUGACUCCAGCAUAUUUGGCAAAACAUUCACUGACUUCAGUUGAGCCAGGGAAAUACCUGAUUAAUUAUUUGCUGCUGCUGUUGUUUCACGUGGGCAUCACAGAUACAGCCAGAAGCAGUGUGAGGAUUGCAGAGCCCUGGGCGUGGCAGUCAAGGACUCUGGAGCACAGUUACAAAUAAGUGAUACAAGGGGAGAACUAUGAAAAGUACCUCAGAAGAAAAUACAUAACCAAGUAAAAUCUCUUUACCAGAUACACAACGUUUUCCAUGGAGCUGAAUGUGUCUUGGAUUAUGACAAAUGGUCUUAAGAGCCUCACCUGCAUUGAGGCAGCUUCACUCCAAUAAAGGAAUAAUUGAUACGGCCAUCUUGAAAGAAAUGAACCACCAAACGGAAUGAACCCUAGUGCUCUUCGGGACAUGUAGGACUCAGCAGACAGUAGUAGAAGAAACUUUUUUAAUUUCCUCUGCCAAGACAACUGGGUCAGUGAACUAAGCAGGCAGGUAUCCAUCUUCACCCUACAGCACUGAGAGACAUAAUUCUUUGUUCUUGGUUGUUGUGUUUUCUGUAAUUAGAAUAUAUUAAUAUAUUCUGUCAUUAAUAUACUAUAUAAUAUUAAUAUAUUAUAUAAUAUAUAUAUUUAAAUAUAUUAAGUGUUCAGGAACUGUGUAGAUGAGGUCCUCAGUGGCAUGGUUUAGUGGUGGUCUUGGUAGUCCUGGGGUAAUGUUCGGACUUGAUGAUCUUUAAGGUCUUUUGCAACCUAAUUGAUUCUAUGAUUCUAUAUUUUUCAGUCAUUCUGGAUACUUUCAAUUUGUAAGUAGAUCAGGAUGCCUAUAGCAAAUUAUUAUACUGUUGGUCUAUAGUGGAAGUUUUAUGAGCCAUUCUGUAUCCUUAUUUCUUAAAGGAAGAUAAAACAACACAAAAAUCAAGUUGAAUGGUACAAAAAGCAUUGCUGUUUUGGUUUUCUUAUUUACGAAGCACUGAACUGUAAAGUAUUGUAAUAAUAGCUUGUAUUAAUUUUAACAAACUUGAAAAUAUUGAUGACUAACAUUUAGGUGCUUUUUCAGUCUGUUUCUCAUCAACCUUUAGCUUUUUGCUCGAGGCACCACAUUUGUUAUGUUAGUGUAAAUAGAUAAUUACAAACAGUGGUAAAAUGAAAUACCACCACGGGUAAAGCUAAGAGACUUUUAAAAGCUUCAUAUGGAUUGUGAACAUACCAGUUUUAUUAAUACAAAACCCAUUAUUGUGCUGCUUGCUAAAUAGCUCCAAUUCUGUUAGAAAAUAUGCUGUUUCCUAAAACUAGCGUUUUUCUGGUUCUUGCUUUCUACUCAUGCAUGAAAUAUUGAAUUUGUCUUCAGAAACUACCCAGGGGAUUUGAAGGAAAAAAAAAAAAAGUUAUGCCUCUUCUCACAGACUGGUCUUUAAGUAAAGGUUAAACAGUACAGUGGUUGAAACUCUGAUGAUCCUGAGUCUGUUGGAGAUGAUAUCUUUAGCCUUUUGUAAGCAGAGAUUUAUUUUGCAAAGACACAGGGGAUAUGUUGUAGGGGAUACAGGGUAUAAUGCCUGAUGUGUUGCUGAAGAAGAGCCUACUAAAGAGGAAAUAGUAAGUGUUACUAGAUUAGCACAGGGC